rnacentral:rRNA from 1 species
GAUGAACGCUGGCGGCGUGCCUAAUACAUGCAAGUCGAGCGAACGGACGAGAAGCUUGCUUCUCUGAUGUUAGCGGCGGACGGGUGAGUAACACGUGGAUAACCUACCUAUAAGACUGGGAUAACUUCGGGAAACCGGAGCUAAUACCGGAUAAUAUUUUGAACCGCAUGGUUCAAAAGUGAAAGACGGUCUUGCUGUCACUUAUAGAUGGAUCCGCGCUGCAUUAGCUAGUUGGUAAGGUAACGGCUUACCAAGGCAACGAUGCAUAGCCGACCUGAGAGGGUGAUCGGCCACACUGGAACUGAGACACGGCCCAGACUCCUACGGGAGGCAGCAGUAGGGAAUCUUCCGCAAUGGGCGAAAGCCUGACGGAGCAACGCCGCGUGAGUGAUGAAGGUCUUCGGAUCGUAAAACUCUGUUAUUAGGGAAGAACAUAUGUGUAAGUAACUGUGCACAUCUUGACGGUACCUAAGCAGAAAGCCACGGCUAACUACGU